GAUGAACGCUGGCGGCGUGCCUAAUACAUGCAAGUCGAGCGAACAGACGAGGAGCUUGCUCCUCUGACGUUAGCGGCGGACGGGUGAGUAACACGUGGAUAACCUACCUAUAAUACUGGGAUAACUUCGGGAAACCGGAGCUAAUACCGGAUAAUAUAUUGAACCGCAUGGUUCAAUAGUGAAAGACGGUUUUGCUGUCACUUAUAGAUGGAUCCGCGCCGCAUUAGCUAGUUGGUAAGGUAACGGCUUACCAAGGCAACGAUGCGUAGCCGACCUGAGAGGGUGAUCGGCCACACUGGAACUGAGACACGGUCCAGACUCCUACGGGAGGCAGCAGUAGGGAAGCUUCCGCAAUGGGCGAAAGCCUGACGGAGCAACGCCGCGUGAGUGAUGAAGGUCUUCGGAUCGUAAAACUCUGUUAUUAGGGAAGAACAAAUGUGUAAGUAACUAUGCACGUCUUGACGGUACCUAAUCAGAAAGCCACGGCUAACUACGUG
rnacentral:rRNA from 1 species